AGUGAACGCUGGCGGCAGGCCUAAUACAUGCAAGUCGAACGGCAGCACAGUGGAGCUUGCUCCAUGGGUGGCGAGUGGCGGACGGGUGAGGCAUACAUGGGAAUCUGCCCAGUCGUGGGGGAUAACGUAGGGAAACUUACGCUAAUACCGCAUGCGCCCUUCGGGGGAAAGCCGGGGACCUUCGUGCCUGGCGCGGUUGGAUGAUCCCAUGUUCGCUUGGCUAGUUGGCGGGGUAAAGGCCCACCAAGGGGGCGAUCGAUCGCUGGUCUGAGAGGAGGAUCAGCCACACUGGAACUGAGACACGGCCCAGAGUCCUACGGGAGGGAGCAGUAGGGAAUAUUGGACAGUGGGCGCAAGCCUGAUCCAGCCAUGCCGAGUGAGUGAAGAAGGCCCUCGGGUUGUAAAGCUCUUUUGUCCGGGAAGAAAAGCAUCGGGCUAAUACCUCGGUGUUCUGACGGUACCGGAAGAAGAAGCACCGGCUAACUUCGUG
rnacentral:rRNA from 1 species